rnacentral:rRNA from 1 species
AACGAACGCUGGCGGCAUGCCUAACACAUGCAAGUCGAACGAUUGCCUUCGGGUGAUAGUGGCGCACGGGUGCGUAACGCGUGGGAAUCUGCCCUUGGGUUCGGAAUAGCAGCUGGAAACGGCUGCUAAUACCGGAUGAUAUCGCGAGAUCAAAGAUUUAUCGCCUGAGGAUGAGCCCGCGUUGGAUUAGGUAGUUGGUGGGGUAAAGGCCUACCAAGCCGACGAUCCAUAGCUGGUCUGAGAGGAUGAUCAGCCACACUGGGACUGAGACACGGCCCAGACUCCUACGGGAGGCAGCAGUGGGGAAUAUUGGACAAUGGGCGCAAGCCUGAUCCAGCAAUGCCGCGUGAGUGAUGAAGGCCCUAGGGUUGUAAAGCUCUUUUACCCGGGAAGAUAAUGACUGUACCGGGAGAAUAAGCCCCGGCUAACUCCGUGCCAGCCGCCGCAGUAA